AUCGUUGGUUAGAUCGGGCAUAAGGACCUAUGCCCGUUUUCACCAACAACCUCUUACCGUUUCCCUAUCUAAAUGCUACUUUUAGUAAGGAUCCCUCCCAAUUUGACACCUACCUAAAUUCAUUUUCACCACACUUGUACAUGGAUCCCUUAAAUAAGUUUAUUUUGGCAGAGAAGAGAAAACGAGGAUAAACCUUUCUUGCACAAGAAAAAGACAAGCUAGUGAAAUUGCUGACGUCUCAUAGAGACACAAUAUUAAACAAAAAACGGAUGGGACCACGAACGAAGCCAAAAACAAAGCUUGGAUCCAGUCACAAAUAGUUUUAAUGCGAUAGGAACCGUUUACAGUUUCAGGUGGUGCGAGAAAUUGGAAAGACGUGUAAAAACAUGCUGCGCCCAGCCCACCUCAAAUUAAAUUGGUGCAGGAGGAUGAUGAUAAUGUUUGGUACAUCAUAUGAGGACUAAUAUUAAAAUAUUUGUUUAC
rnacentral:lncRNA from 1 species